rnacentral:rRNA from 1 species
UGGGGAAUAUUGGACAAUGGGGGCAACCCUGAUCCAGCAAUGCCGCGUGUGUGAAGAAGGUCUUCGGAUUGUAAAGCACUUUCGACGGGGACGAUGAUGACGGUACCCGUAGAAGAAGCCCCGGCUAACUUCGUGCCAGCAGCCGCGGUAAUACGAAGGGGGCUAGCGUUGCUCGGAAUGACUGGGCGUAAAGGGCGUGUAGGCGGUUUACACAGUCAGAUGUGAAAUCCCCGGGCUUAACCUGGGAGCUGCAUUUGAUACGUGUAGACUAGAGUGUGAGAGAGGGUUGUGGAAUUCCCAGUGUAGAGGUGAAAUUCGUAGAUAUUGGGAAGAACGCCGGUGGCGAAGGCGGC